rnacentral:rRNA from 1 species
UAAACGAAAGUUUGACUAAGCCAUAUUAAUUAGGGUUGGUAAAUUUCGUGCCAGCCACCGCGGCCAUACGAUUAACCCAAGUUAAUAAGCACACGGCGUAAAGCGUGUUAAAGCACUGUACUAAAUAAAGUUAAAUUCCAAUUAAGCUGUAAAAAGCCAUAAUUGCAACAAAAAUAAACAACGAAGGUAACCUUAUAGCCGCUGAAACACGAUAGCUAGGACCCAAACUGGGAUUAGAUACCCCACUAUGCCUAGCCCUAAAUACAAAUAGUUGUGUAAACAAAACUAUUCGCCAGAGUACUACCGGCAAUAGCUUAAAACUCAAAGGA